rnacentral:lncRNA from 1 species
AUGGAAAGUGCUCUCCUGGCUCAACCCCGCCAACGCUGCGCCCACCAGGAGCCUCUGACCGCGGCAGCCGCCAGCCUGCGCGCCCAGCCCCCAGGGCUCGUGCCGCUCUCCUCUCCUCCUUCUGCCUGGAGUCCUGAGGAGGGCGUGGGCAGCUCCAGGGGACCCCACCCCAGCCCCAGCCUCACUCUUCACCCCAGUUUCAGAUUCCCGAGGAAGGGGACCUGGUCAACCCAGUGGCCCAGUCAGCUGGGCCAGGGUUUAGCAAGAAGCUCUCCGAAAACCAAAGGCCUUGACUUGGAACGUCGGCCGUUUCCCUGGUGUGAAUGCUCCCGCCACGGCCAAUUUCCCGCUACCGAGGCCACGGUGCUGCCGCGGAGCUGGGAAGAGCUGCGUGGAUAUGAACAGCCUCUGGGACACAGGCGACAGUGAGGUACAGCCGAGAGAUGAGGAAGUGAUGAGUCUGGGGUGUUCACGACCUCUGUUUUUAAUAUAAUCCACUUAAUUGUAAGCUUCGAUGACUGCAUUUAUCAACCAGCUCUCAAAACGGCUGAAAAUUUAAGCACAGAUCAUGCAAGCCCAUUGGCGCGGCUCCAGCACACCACUGGCCAAGGCCGCCAGGCAAAAUAGCUGCCAGGGGCACCCCAGAGGCGGGGCGCGGGUCUCAGAGAAGGGGAGCCCCCCAAACGCCUUCUCUGGCAGCUCUGCAGGAUGCGGCCUCCCAGGGACCCUCCUUUGUGAAUGCAUUUAGGGACCCAGCUUUUAACAGUCCACUGCAUGAUGCUGUGAGGGUGGAAGGCCAGCGUCUGUGACUUGGAGCAAAGUGCAGUGCCCGCCUCCUGGGCUUGUGCUGAGCUUGGGCUGUGCUGAGCCUUAAGACACAAAGUAACAUGCUGGGAACAGCACAGGGACCCUCAAGGCUUCAGUAAACAUACCCUCCCCUCACUCUCACCUCACUCCUCCCAGCCUGUUUCCUCCUGCCACACUGUGCGGAUCUAUAAUAGCCUUGCACAGAAGAGCGACUUAAGUCGCACAACAACUGGGGGGGUGGGCUCUACCAGCCCCCGUUACAAAGGGGUCAUGGCCUCAGAGAGGUCAACCAGCCCGCAGUCCCAGAGCUGCAAGGACUCCUCGAGCCCAGGGCCUGGCUGGGCAGAGGGAGACGCCCACGGGGCUGCAGCUAGCUGGCCUGGCAGCGGGUCCCGGCACCAACAGGCCCAUGGCCCCUGCAGCGUCCUCGCUCUCAGCCCCUCCUCACACAAGCCCCACCCCGAGGGCCUCCGACAGCCCAGUGUGGUGACAAGGGUCCGUGCUAGGAGUCCCCAGUCUGCCUUCUGGACCCAGCCUCAUGCUGCAACCAAGCACCUGGACCCUGGCCCCAUGUGUAAGGACGUCAGACAGAAUCCUCCCUCUGCCACUUUGUCCCUGGGAC